AUUCCUACCUGUGGAGCUGCUCGCACCGAGGCUGGAACUCGCACAACUGCAACCACGGGGAGGACGCUGGAGUCAUCUGCUCAGGGUUCAGGACUGAAUCAAGUUUGGCCCUGAGGCUGGUGAAUGGAGAUAACCGGUGUCAGGGCCGAGUGGAGGUUCUCUACAAAGGUUCCUGGGGGACCGUGUGUGACGACAGUUGGGACAUCAACGAUGCCAACGUGGUGUGCAG